rnacentral:rRNA from 1 species
AAUAGAUACCCUGGUAGUCCACGCCGUAAACGAUGAGUGCUAAGUGUUAGAGGGUUUCCGCCCUUUAGUGCUGCAGCUAACGCAUUAAGCACUCCGCCUGGGGAGUACGGCCGCAAGGCUGAAACUCAAAGGAAUUGACGGGGGCCCGCACAAGCGGUGGAGCAUGUGGUUUAAUUCGAAGCAACGCGAAGAACCUUACCAGGUCUUGACAUCCUCUGCCAACCCUAGAGAUAGGGCGUUCCCCUUCGGGGGACAGAGUGACAGGUGGUGCAUGGUUGUCGUCAGCUCGUGUCGUGAGAUGUUGGGUUAAGUCCCGCAACGAGCGCAACCCUUGAUCUUAGUUGCCAGCAUUCAGUUGGGCACUCUAAGGUGACUGCCGGUGACAAACCGGAGGAAGGUGGGGAUGACGUCAAAUCAUCAUGCCCCUUAUGACCUGGGCUACACACGUGCUACAAUGGAUGGUACAAAGAGCUGCGAACCCGCGAGGGUAAGCGAAUCUCAUAAAGCCAUUCUCAGUUCGGAUUGUAGG